rnacentral:rRNA from 1 species
UACGGGGGGGGGCAAGCGUUGUUCGGAAUUACUGGGCGUAAAGGGCUCGUAGGCGGCCAACUAAGUCCGACGUGAAAUCCCCAGGCUUAACCUGGGAACUGCGUCGGAUACUGGAUGGCUUGAAUUCGGGAGAGGGAUGCAGAAUUCCAGGUGUAGCGGUGAAAUGCGCAGAUAUCGGGAGGAACACCAGUAGCGAAGGCGGCUCCCUGGGCCAUUCCUGACGCUGAGACGCGAAAGCGUGGGGAGCAAACAGG